rnacentral:rRNA from 1 species
UAGUCCACGCCCUAAACGAUGCUAACUCGAUAUUUGGAUCUUGAAUCUGAGUGUCUAAGCGAAAGCGAUAAGUUAGCCACCUGGGGAGUACGUUCGCAAGAUUAAAACUCAAAGGAAUAGACGGGGACCCGCACAAGUGGUGGAGCAUGUGGUUUAAUUCGAAGAUACGCGAAGAACCUUACCUAGCCUUGACAUAUAUUAGAACACUUUAGAGAUAGAGUGGUGCCUUCGGGAGCUUUUAUACAGGUGCUGCACGGCUGUCGUCAGCUCGUGUCGUGAGAUGUUGGGUUAAGUCCCGCAACGAGCGCAACCCUCGUCACUAGUUACUGACGGUUCGGCCGAGGACUCUAGUGAGACUGCCUUCGCAAGGAGGAGGAAGGUGAGGACGACGUCAAGUCAUCAUGGCCCUUACGGCUAGGGCAACACACGUGCUACAAUGGCCAGGACAAUGAGAAGCGAUACCGCGAGGUGGAGCAAAUCUAUAAACCUGGUCUCAGUUCGGAUUG